UUUUUUUUUUUUUUUUUGCUUUUUAGGGCCGCCCUCGUGGCCUAUGGAGGUUCCCAGGCUAGGGGUUAAAUCGGUGCUGCAGCUGCCAGCCUACACCACAGCCACAACAAUGCCAGAUCCGAGCCUCAUCUGUGACCUACACCACAGCUCAUGGCAACACCAGAUCCUUAACCCGCUGAGCAAGGCCAGGGAUUGAACCCACAACCUCAUGGUUCUUAGUUGGAUUCAUUUCCACUGCACCACAAUGGGAACUCCCUGAGUGAAUUUCAGAUUAAUCCAUGGGCGUUGAUGUUCUAUCUCAACUCCAGAGAGCAUGCUCAGUGGCUGGGAGGCAUCUGUCCUAAAAUCCCAGCUUCCCUUUCAGAAGCAGCAACACUAUCCUAGGAGAUGAAAGCCCAACCCCUUUCUUACUGAGGCUUUCAAAAGUCCCCUUAGAACUUGGACAACUUGACUUCCCAAAAUUGUGGAGUAGAAAAAUAACUUAGAAGAUUGGCAUGCAAACAAAUAUUCAAGUUCUCUAUAAACAUCUGUCUUAAAACCCUCUAUAAACUCUUGCCUUCAAGCCCUCUAUAAACUCCUGUCUGGAUUUGUAAAUAAAAACCAUAUAAGGAUUCUCCAGUAAAUACUGGAGGGAGAAAAGUAUAGACAUUUCUGAGAGCUCAUUUCUACCUAGUUGAGCAAAGCUUAUAAAAGUUAUAUAUACUGUGUGUUCUGUCACCCUUUUCACUGCUUUGUAACCUCAGUCAUAAACCCAAAACAAUACUUAUUUGCCAGUUCUUUCCCUGCGUGUUUCUGCCGUCUCCAACCAAAGGUUGAUGCAAAUGGUGGAAAAGAAGUGUAUUGAAUAAAAUUAGAAAGUUCUAAAAAUAGAGCUUUUUUAAAAGAUAAAAUGGGCUGCCCUAAGCAAUAGUGAGUCUCCUAGCACUGGAAGUAUGAAAGCAGAGAUUAUAAGUGUAUCUGCUGAAUGAGCUGAAAAGAAAUACCUAAAAUCAGGUGGAGAAUUGGGUUAGGCAACCUCUAAGUCCCUCCAAAUCAGAAGUUCUAGGAAUUGAAGACAUCCAUUCAUUCAAAGCUCUCCUAAAGGGCCUAGUCUGUGCCAGAUUGUGUCCUUGGGAGAGAUGAAAUAAACCAAGCCCCUGGGGACCCUCAGUGAGUCCCAGCUUUGUAAGAAGAUGGACAAGCCAGUGGCUAACUCAAGUGCAAGGCAAAAUGAUGCAUGUCUUAGAGAACUGACAACAGCCAGUUGUGCAGAGGUAGCUGAGAUGCAGAACCACCUGGGAUUAGAGAAAGUUCCCCAUAGCCUGCUUCCUUGGACUGGAGGGCUCUGGCUGUGGGGGAAAUAUCCACAUACAAUAAUAUAUUUUAUUGAGCUCUUAUUUGGUGCUGGUCACUUAAGCUGUCAUUUAACCUACAUAACAGUCCAUUCAGUUAGGCACUAUUGUUUUCCUCCAUUUAAUGUUGGAUAAAAUCAAGGGUAAAAAGGUUAAGGAAGAGGCAUGAAGCCAGGUGUCGUCUUCCAGAUGUUGCUCUUAGUGCUGUUCUGUUUCCUGGGCUAGUUCCUGUCACUUUCUGAGACUCAGUGUCCCUAUAUGAACAAUGAAGGGUUUGGACCAGGCCCUUUGUCAUGUCCAGUAUUCUGGAAACACCAGGAAUAAUCUACAUUUCUCCUUCCCAGAUGAGGCUGGGAGGAAAGGAGGGCCUCCUUGGCCAGGCUGAUGUUGCACCCAGUCUCUCGGGUAAGGGCUCCUAGGCCUUGAGCUCUACAGGAUCUCAGAGAGACUCCUCACACAUAGAUUUAGCUUCCUAAGCCUGCCUAUGAAUAUGGAACAGAGAAGGAAAGCCUUGCUCCAUGUGGCCCCGAUACCACCAAGAAUCAUCCAUAAAUCCCUUUGACUUCCAGCAGGAGUCAGAUCUGGUUUUUCAGAGCCAGGUCAUGACAGGAGAGACAGCUUCACAUGCCCUGGGAAUGAGGGCCAAGCAGGGAAUGCCUGGUGCCUGUGGGGAAGAGGCUCCCAUUAAUGUGGGCAGGCACAGGGCCAGGUGAGGAGCUUUGAGUCCGCCAGGCAGCCCAUGGUCAUGCGUCAGUGACUGAACUGCAGCCUCGAAGCUGUGGACGUUUAUAAUGUCAGUUUAGCUGAGCUCAAACUGUGUUUCCUGGAAUUCCCUUCUCUGCUUAAUUCCAGGUUAGCUCUGGUCACAGGAACAUUUUGCAGGAGUUUUUGAAGGUACAAAUGAAGUAACCUUCUUCUUUUGGUUCAGAAGGCAGGGCACAAGGCCUCACAUACCUUGCUGCUUUCCUGCUAGCUCACCUGGGUGGCAUGGGGCAGCAUCCAGACCUGCAGGCCACAGCUCCUGCUGGUCCUAUCUCUUCUAUUUCCUGACCCCUGGGUGAGUUGAGGGGUUUCACUCCACCAGGAAAGGCAAAACUCCUCUAAGUCAUCCCAUCAUCAAAGUUGGAGCCUUGGGUUCCACGUGGAUUCCAUACCUCCUUUCCAUCAUUCCUUCCCAACUGCCUGCCCUGCUGACUUUAGGCUCCAGUGUAAGACACAGAAGUAAUAGCCUCACUUUGACCAGUUCCCGUGUUAUAUAAGGUGGAAUCCCUGUAGUCAUUCUCUUAUUGUAUACAUUCUGCUAGUGGCUCUGCUUCUCUGACUGAACCCUGAAUGAUAUGCAGGGGAACAGGUAAGAGGAGGAACAAGGCUGAACCCUGGGGGGACUGAGGGAGGAAUGGGCUGAUGCCAGGAUCAGAGCAGAAGUCAGGUUCCCGGAAGCAGAAUCUGAUUAAGCCCCUGAGCUCCUGAAUGUGGGCUAAUUGGCUGCCUCGUAGAAGUACUGUUCUCAAGACCUGAAGAAAACUGAGCCCUUCAAGGAACAAGUGGCUUUGUUUGUUGGGAGGGCUGGGACGAGUUGAAGUCACAGCAGGUCCUUGCAUGGCUUAGAUACAGCCCUACAACUACUAUAGAUACACAUUCACGCUUGUGCAUAAAUUCACAGCAUAUAUAGUCUUCCCUAGCCAAGCAGAACUGUCAGAGCUUUCUUUUAUUCCUACCUCCCUUUUCCUUCUGGCAAUGCUGGAAACUUUAAUGACUCUUUUAAGCCCUAAAAUAUAAUAUAUUGAGACUGAGACUCUAGGGAGGUAGCCUCUGGAUAAAAGACUAACUCCCUUCUCCUCUCUCCCUUUCUGGAGAAGGGCAACAGCAGGUUAGUGAGGCUGGAGGAGUCUGGAGGGAGCAUUUGAGGCCACCAGGUAAAGGACGGCUUGUGCACCUGAAGGGGCCCAGCGUGUGUGGUCCUAGGAGGGCCAGCCAAUCCUCCUGGCCUUAGAGGACCUGCAGGAGACUAGGAAGUAGGACAAAUACUCCUGGUCCCUGCAGUGGAGAGGAUGCCCCUUGGAUCUGGGAAGAGAUUUGGUCAGAAGCUCCCUCCCUCUGCUUAGGAGAAGAACAGAGCCUGGCCAUUUUGUUCGCCACUGCUUAACGAGACCAGAACCUCCUAGGCCUUACCCAACAGUCGACCCAACGACAUCAUGAACAAGCUAAAGAAAAAAAUAACCAUUUUAACCAGUGCUCAGUAACCAGAACAGAGCAGACAAAGCAGAGCCUGAAUAGCAGGGGCGCCACUGGAGCAGGACAUUGGCAGAGUCAAAUGUGAAAGCUAAACAGCUGGAAGGAAAACUCUUAAAGAGAUCCCAUUAGAGAAUAAAAAGGACUUUCUGGGUCUAAAAAUGCAGCUUUCUCAUUGAGACUUUUAACUCAUUAACUGAAAGAAGAGAUAGUUUUUUUCUGAAAACACAUUUAGUAGCCUGAACAAGAAAUUCCUCACAGCAGAGCAACAA
rnacentral:lncRNA from 1 species